rnacentral:misc_RNA from 1 species
CGAAUUUCUGGCUUUCAUCUGGACGGCCAUCAGAUUCCUCACCUGUGCUAGGCCUAGACCUCUUUCGAGAUCCAGAGCUCCCUGAAUCGUGAUCUUCAGUAAUAUUUGUCCUCCGAGAAUUCAAAUGCUUAGCUGGUUCUAAGCUUGAGCCUCCUUUCAUCUUAGUGGCCUCUUCUGCUUUUUCUACGCUUGAGCCUCCUUUUAAUUUGAGGGUUGUCUGCAUCUUAGUGGCUUCUUCUACAUCAGACGACAAAAAAGACACAAUUUCGUGCAAAUUUUCCACAGCCUCCUGCUUUUUCUGUUGGAUUAGUAAAAGGAACUCCAGUAAUAAUUCCUGCUCAUCUAUUUUUUCUCUAAGCUCUAUCGCUGCUUCACGUUCUUCCAAGUCAUGCCUUGGAGUUUUAAGGAACUCACUUUCUAGCAACUCACCCACUUUUGGCCGACUACUUGGGUCCGGGUGUAGUAACCAUAAGCAAAAUGAAGCUUCCUUAGGCCAUUUCAACAACAACUGUGGGGGUAGGACACGAUGUCUUAGACAUGACAUAUUUG